AUACGGGGGGUGCAAGCGUUAAUCGGAAUUACUGGGCGUAAAGCGCGCGUAGGCGGUUUGCUCAGUCGGAUGUGAAAGCCCAGGGCUCAACCUUGGAACUGCAUACGAUACUGGCAAACUAGAGUGUGAGAGAGGAUAGUGGAAUUUCCGGUGUAGCGGUGAAAUGCGUAGAUAUCGGAAGGAACAUCAGUGGCGAAGGCGACUGUCUGGCUCAACACUGACGCUGAGGUGCGAAAGCGUGGGUAGCAAACAGAAUUAGAAACCCUAGUAGUCC
rnacentral:rRNA from 1 species